GGUUGAAAUAUAUUCUGCAAGUAACCCUGACGAUGUUUCAAAAGCUGGUCCACAUGCUUCACUGCUGACGCAGAAUCCUCCAUCUCCAGGCAGUCCAACCGCUAUCUUUGUGCCCAGCACCUAGUGUCUGCCCUCCAGCCUAAAAGUGUGCGACAAGUUUCAACUACAAGUCAAGAGGUUGAAGGAUUGGGAGUUUGCAGAGAUUUUGGUAUUUUAUUAUGAGUUAGACUUGAUAGUUAAGUUUGUUGACUUCUUUGCUGAGUUUUUGUCUUUUAUUUCUGGUAUUGUGUGGUAAGAUCUGUUCUUUCUUAUCGAUACAACAAUAUUGCUCAUAUAUGCUACUUUUUCCUCCU